rnacentral:rRNA from 1 species
UACGUAGGGGGCAAGCGUUAUCCGGAUUUACUGGGUGUAAAGGGAGCGUAGGCGGUGCAGCAAGUCAGAAGUGAAAGCCCGGGGCUCAACCCCGGGACUGCUUUUGAAACUGUUGAACUAGAUUGCAGGAGAGGUAAGUGGAAUUCCUAGUGUAGCGGUGAAAUGCGUAGAUAUUAGGAGGAACACCAGUGGCGAAGGCGGCUUACUGGACUGUAAAUGACGCUGAGGCUCGAAAGCGUGGGGAGCAAACAGG